rnacentral:tRNA from 1 species
GCGGGUAUAGCUCAGUGGUAGAGCAUGUGCUUAGCAUGCACAAGGUCCUGGGUUCAAUCCCCAGUCCCUCUA